UACAGAGGUCUCAAGCGUUGUUCGGAUUCAUUGGGCGUAAAGGGUGCGUAGGCGGCGCGGUAAGUCGGGUGUGAAAUCUCGGAGCUUAACUCCGAAACUGCAUUCGAUACUGCCGUGCUUGAGGACUGGAGAGGAGACUGGAAUUUACGGUGUAGCGGUGAAAUGCGUAGAUAUCGUAAGGAAGACCAGGGGCGAAGGCGGGGCUCUGGACAGUUCCUGACGCUGAGGCACGAAGGUCAGGGGAGCAAACGGG
rnacentral:rRNA from 1 species